rnacentral:rRNA from 1 species
UGGGGAAUAUUGGGCAAUGGGCGCAAGCCUGACCCAGCAACGCCGCGUGAAGGAAGAAGGCUCUCGGGUUGUAAACUUCUUUUAAGAGGGACGAAACAAAUGACGGUACCUCUUGAAUAAGCCACGGCUAACUACGUGCCAGCAGCCGCGGUAAUACGUAGGUGGCAAGCGUUAUCCGGAUUUACUGGGUGUAAAGGGCGUGUAGGCGGGAAGGCAAGUCAGAUGUGAAAACUAUGGGCUCAACCCAUAGCCUGCAUUUGAAACUGUUUUUCUUGAGUGAUGGAGAGGCAGGCGGAAUUCCGUGUGUAGCGGUGAAAUGCGUAGAUAUACGGAGGAACACCAGUGGCGAAGGCGGCCUGCUGGACAUUAACUGACGCUGAGGCGCGAAAGCGUGGGGAGCAAACA